GUGUAUAUAUGUGUAGAGAAUAUCUUAAGGAGACAUGAUGAUGUAAAAAUCAUGCUCAAUGGGACUAUGCUAAGGCUC
ensembl:snoRNA SNORD115 Small nucleolar RNA SNORD115